AGCCCCCUACGGGGGGCAGCAGUGAGGAAUCUUGGUCAAUGGGCGAGCGCCUGAACCAGCCAAGUCGCGUGAAGGAUGACGGCCCUACGGGUUGUAAACUUCUUUUGUCAGGGAGCAAUUGGGUCCACGCGUGGGCUUAGCGAGAGUACCUGAAGAAAAAGCAUCGGCUAACUCCGUGCCAGCAGCCGCGGUAAUACGGAGGAUGCGAGCGUUAUCCGGAUUUAUUGGGUUUAAAGGGAGCGUAGGCCGGUCUUUAAGCGUGCCGUGAAAUUUUGUGGCUCAACCAUGAGAGUGCGGCGCGAACU
rnacentral:rRNA from 1 species